rnacentral:tRNA from 1 species
CAGGAAGUAGUUUAUUAAAAAUAUUAAUUUUGGAGAUUAAUGAUGAAGAGAAGAUCUUUCCUGA